CAAAAGAGUGGAAAGAGCUUCGAGUAGAGGUGACAAAUCUAUCGAGCCCAGUUAUAGCUGGUUGCCUGAGAAAUGAAUAAAGUUCAGCCCUCUAAGUCCUUCCCCAAUCACCCGCGCUCUACGCUUUUAAGACUAAGGAAACUAGAGGAGUUAGUCAAAAGAGGAACAGCUCUUCUGACAAAAGAAACAACUUUUACGGGUGACCCAAGAUCAUAUUACCUAAGGAUUAUAAAUUAAGUGGGCUUAAGAGCAGCCAUCUUAAAAGAAAGCGUUACACCUCAAAUUAAAUAUUUCCCUUUUAUUCUGAUAACAUAUCUCCCUCCCCGACCCCCUAUCAGGCUGUCUUAUGCCCCCAUAAGAACAAUUAUGCUAAAAUGAGUAAUAAGAAGAAUUAUACUCUUCUCCCAGCACAUGUGUAAGUCGGAACGGACCCUCCACCGACUAUUAACCGACCCCAAACCCAGAGGGAUAAUAAGUCAAACACAACAAGAAAAACACUUACCUUUAAUCGUUAACCCAACACAGGAGUGCCCUAAGGAAAGACUAAAAGAGAAGGAAGGAAUUCGGCAAACACAAGCCUCGCCUGUUUACCAAAAACAUCGCCUCUUGCCCCAAUAAGUAUAAGAGGUCCCGCCUGCCCGGUGACUAUAAGUUUAACGGCCGCAGUAUUUUAACCGCGCGAAGGUAGCGUAAUCACCUGUUUUUUAAAUGAAGACCUGUAUGAAUGGCCCAACGAGGGCUUAACUGUCUCCCUCCUCCAGUCAAUGAAAUUGACCUCCCCGUGCAGAGGCGGGGAUAUUAACAUAAGACGAGAAGACCCUGUGGAGCUUUAGACCUAAAAUAAAUCAUGUUUAAUAUUCUGCUGUACCAGUAAAAACUCAACGAUAAUUAUUGAAGUGUCUUCGGUUGGGGCGACCCUGGGGAAAAACACAACCCCCAUGUGGACUGGGAAUACUAUUCCUAGCACUCAGAGUCCCUACUCCAAGUAACAGAAAUUCUGACCUUUAUGAUCCGGUAAUACCGAUCAACGAAUCAAGUUACCCCAGGGAUAACAGCGCAAUCCCCUCUAAGAGCCCUUAUCGACGAGGGGGUUU
rnacentral:rRNA from 1 species